rnacentral:rRNA from 1 species
GACAGAGGGGGCAAGCGUUGCUCGGAAUUACUGGGCGUAAAGGGCGCGUAGGCGGGAUGGCAAGUCGGUCGUGAAAUCCCUCGGCUCAACCGAGGAACGUCGAUCGAUACUGCUGUUCUUGAGGAUUGCAGAGGAGACUGGAAUUCCCGGUGUAGCGGUGAAAUGUGUAGAGAUCGGGAGGAACACCGGUGGCGAAGGCGGCUCUCUGGACGGAUACUGACGCUGAGGCGCGAAAGCGUGGGGAUCAAACAGG